ACGGGUGAGUAACACGUAAGGAACCUGCCUCAAGGAUUGGGAUAACUCCGAGAAAUCGGAGCUAAUACCGGAUAGUUCAACGGACCGCAUGGUCCGCUGAUGAAAGGCGCUCCGGCGUCACCUUGAGAUGGCCUUGCGGUGCAUUAGCUAGUUGGUGGGGUAACGGCCCACCAAGGCGACGAUGCAUAGCCGACCUGAGAGGGUGAUCGGCCACACUGGGACUGAGACACGGCCCAGACUCCUACGGGAGGCAGCAGUAGGGAAUCUUCCACAAUGGACGAAAGCCUGAUGGAGCAACGCCGCGUGAGUGAUGAAGGUUUUCGGAUCGUAAAACUCUGUUGUAAGGGAAGAACACGUACGAGAGGGAAUGCUCGUACCUUGACGGUACCUUACGAGAAAGCCACGGCUAACUACGUGCCAGCAGCCGCGGUAAUACGUAGGUGGCAAGCGUUGUCCGGAAUUAUUGGGCGUAAAGCGCGCGCAGGCGGCCUUUUAAGUCUGAUGUGAAAGCCCCCGGCUCAACCGGGGAGGGCCAUUGGAAACUGGAAGGCUUGAGUACAGAAGAGAAGA
rnacentral:rRNA from 1 species